UACGUAGGGUGCGAGCGUUGUCCGGAAUUAUUGGGCGUAAAGAGCUUGUAGGCGGUUUGUCGCGUCUGCUGUGAAAAUCCGGGGCUCAACCCCGGACUUGCAGUGGGUACGGGCAGACUAGAGUAUGGUAGGGGAGACUGGAAUUCCUGGUGUAGCGGUGGAAUGCGCAGAUAUCAGGAGGAACACCGAUGGCGAAGGCAGGUCUCUGGGCCAUUACUGACGCUGAGAAGCGAAAGCAUGGGGAGCGAACAGG
rnacentral:rRNA from 1 species